rnacentral:rRNA from 1 species
AGGGCGAUCUAUACAUGCAGUCGAACGCUUCUUUCCUCCCGAGUGCUUGCACUCAAUUGGAAAGAGGAGUGGCGGACGGGUGAGUAACACGUGGGUAACCUACCCAUCAGAGGGGGAUAACACUUGGAAACAGGUGCUAAUACCGCAUAACAGUUUAUGCCGCAUGGCAUAAGAGUGAAAGGCGCUUUCGGGUGUCGCUGAUGGAUGGACCCGCGGUGCAUUAGCUAGUUGGUGAGGUAACGGCUCACCAAGGCCACGAUGCAUAGCCGACCUGAGAGGGUGAUCGGCCACACUGGGACUGAGACACGGCCCAGACUCCUACGGGAGGCAGCAGUAGGGAAUCUUCGGCAAUGGACGAAAGUCUGACCGAGCAACGCCGCGUGAGUGAAGAAGGUUUUCGGAUCGUAAAACUCUGUUGUUAGAGAAGAACAAGGACGUUAGUAACUGAACGUCCCCUGACGGUAUCUAACCAGAAAGCCACGGCUAACUACGUGCCAGCAGCCGCGGUAAUACGUAGGUGGCAAGCGUUGUCCGGAUUUAUUGGGCGUAAAGCGAGCGCAGGCGGUUUCUUAAGUCUGAUGUGAAAGCCCCCGGCUCAACCGGGGAGGGUCAUUGGAAACUGGGAGACUUGAGUGCAGAAGAGGAGAGUGGAAUUCCAUGUGUAGCGGUGAAAUGCGUAGAUAUAUGGAGGAACACCAGUGGCGAAGGCGGCUCUCUGGUCUGUAACUGACGCUGAGGCUCGAAAGCGUGGGGAGCAAACAGGAUUAGAUACCCUGGUAGUCCACGCCGUAAACGAUGAGUGCUAAGUGUUGGAGGGUUUCCGCCCUUCAGUGCUGCAGCAAACGCAUUAAGCACUCCGCCUGGGGAGUACGACCGCAAGGUUGAACCAGAAAAAAUUUUUGGGGGGGGGGGG